CCGUGCCAGCAGCCGCGGUAAUACGGAGGGGUGCCAAGCGUUAUCCGGAUUUACUGGGUUUAAAAGAGUGCGUAAGCGGCUUCUUAAGUCAGUGGUGAAAGCUUAGCGCUUAACGCUAGAAGUGCCACUGAUACUGGGAAGCUUGAGUCAAGAAGAGGUAAGCAGAAUUCAUAGUGUAGCAGUGAAAUGCUUAGAUACUAUGAGGAAUACCAACAGCGAAGGCAGCUUACUGGUCUUGUACUGACGUUGAGGCACGAAAGCGUGGGUAGCGAACAGGAUUAGAUACCCUGGUAGUCCACGCCGUAAACGAUGAUCACUCGAUGUACACGCUAGUCGUGUGUGUCUAAGCAAAAGCAUUAAGUGAUCCACCUGGGGAGUACGCUCGCAAGAGUGAAACUCAAAGGAAUUGACGGGAGUCCGCACAAGCGGUGGAGCAUGUGGUUUAAUUCGAUAAUACGCGAGGAACCUUACCUGGGCUCGAAUGUCUCUGCUACCUCGAGAAAUCGAGGGUUCCUUCGGGACAGAGUACAAGGUGCUGCAUGGCUGUCGUCAGCUCGUGUCGUGAGAUGUUGGGUUAAGUCCUAUAACGAGCGCAACCCCUUUACUUAGUUGCCAGCACAUCAUGGUGGGAACUCUAAGUAGACUGCCUGCGUAAGUAGGGGGAAGGAGGGGACGAGGUCAAGUCAUCAUGGCCCUUACGCCCAGGGCUACACACGUGCUACAAUGGCGUGUACAGAAGGACGCUACUUGGUAACAAGCGGCAAAUCCUCAAAGCACGUCUCAGUUCGGAUUGAGGUCUGCAACUCGACCUCAUGAAGCUGGAAUCGCUAGUAAUCGCGCAUCAGCAAUGGCGCGGUGAAUACGUUCCCGGACUUUGUACACACCGCCCGUCAAGCCAUGGGAGUUGGUAGGACCUAAAGACAGUGGCCAAUUAAGGAGCUGUUAAGGGUUAGAUCAGCGACUGGGGCUAAGUCGUAACAAGGUAGC
rnacentral:rRNA from 1 species